GUCUUGAAAAAGGUGAAAGAGAGAUGUUUAGCACUCCCCUUGACCAGGUUUUAAAAGGUCCCAGUGGCCUUUACAACACAUAUACGGUUAAGGUACUGCCACAUACUUAGUGGCAUCUCUAAACAAGUUUUUAA